rnacentral:tRNA from 1 species
CGUUCUAUGGCCGAACUGGUGAAGGCAUCGCAGGCGAAGAUGCAGGUUCGAGUCCCGCUAGAACGG